AUUGAACGCUGGCGGCAGGCCUAACACAUGCAAGUCGAACGGUAACAGGAAGAAGCUUGCUUCUUUGCUGACGAGUGGCGGACGGGUGAGUAAUGUCUGGGAAACUGCCUGAUGGAGGGGGAUAACUACUGGAAACGGUAGCUAAUACCGCAUAACGUCGCAAGACCAAAGAGGGGGACCUUCGGGCCUCUUGCCAUCGGAUGUGCCCAGAUGGGAUUAGUUAGUAGGUGGGGUAACGGCUCACCUAGGCGACGAUCCCUAGCUGGUCUGAGAUGAUGACCAGCCACACUGGAACUGAGACACGGUCCAGACUCCUACGGGAGGCAGCAGUGGGGAAUAUUGCACAAUGGGCGCAAGCCUGAUGCAGCCAUGCCGCGUGUAUGAAGAAGGCCUUCGGGUUGUAAAGUACUUUCAGCGGGGAGGAAGGGAGUAAAGUUAAUACCUUUACUCAUUGACGUUACCCGCAGAAGAAGCACCGGCUAACUCCGUG
rnacentral:rRNA from 1 species